CACGUAGGGCGCAAGGCGUUGUCCGGAAUUAUUGGGCGUAAAGGAGCUCGUAGGCGGGUCUGUUGCGUCCGCUGUGAAAAACCCGGGGCUUAACCCCUGGCCUUGCAGUGGAUACGGACAAGACUAGAGGUAGGUAGGGGAGAAUGGAAUUCCCGGUGUAGCGGUGAAAUGCGCAGAUAAUCGGGAGGAACACCUAUGGCGAAGGCAGCUCGCUGGGACGUUACUGACGCUGAGACGCGAAAGCGUGGGGAGCAAACAGG
rnacentral:rRNA from 1 species